UACGUAGGGUGCAAGCGUUAAUCGGAAUUACUGGGCGUAAAGCGUGUGCAGGCGGUUAUGUAAGACAGAUGUGAAAUCCCCGGGCUCAGCCUGGGAACUGCAUUUGUGACUGCAUAGCUAGAGUACGGUAGAGGGGGAUGGAAUUCCGCGUGUAGCAGUGAAAUGCGUAGAUAUGCGGAGGAACACCGAUGGCGAAGGCAAUCCCCUGGACCUGUACUGACGCUCAUGCACGAAAGCGUGGGGAGCAAACAGG
rnacentral:rRNA from 1 species